ensembl:lncRNA
GGGAAAGUGUGCUAUUUGAAUUAUAACAUCUCAUGAGGCACAGUUACAGAGUCAGUAGGACUGUGCUGCCACCUAUUGGUGACAUUGGGUGUCCAAAAUGAAGGUCAGUCUAAUGAACUAUUCCAUGGUCUUUGCUUUUGCAUAGUUUGUGCUUGCUGUUUAAUAAUCACCACUCUGUCAUGGAAACUAGCAUGUAUAGACUUCAAUUAAACUAUUUAUUAAAAAGAAAUAUGUACCUGUAUGAUAUUAUUCUGUACCCGCAGCAGUUUGGAAAACAAAUGGAUUGAUGAUUCAGCUGUGGGCUCCAUCUUCUGGCGAGACGCGGGAAUUCAUUUGGCAGCACCCACACAGUACAUCAGGGAAGAGCAACUUCGGUCCUGGAGGUCCACUGUCCUGCAGAGUUUAGCUGCAACUCUAAUCAAACACACCUGAACAAGCUAAUCAAUCUCUUCAAGACUAGCUGUCUUGAUCGACGUUGUCUAUCACUGCUCUAAGCUGUUGAGUGUACAUCGGUUGUGCACUUGUUAUUGAGGUGCAUUCUGGGAAUGAGUGCACUCGAUAACAUCCACUAUGGUUUCGGGAACCACUGCAAAUGACUGUCCCCUUAAAUAUUGCGCUAUUUAGGAUUAUAGGGAGCGAAUUCAGACACAGUUUCAUUCAUAUUACACACUAUAUAGAGUGUCACUCUAUAUAGAACAUUAAUGGCCACAAAGCAACAGAAGGAAGCAAGUUUUCUUCCAGGACAACCUUGUAUGAGGCUUGAUUCACACACCCUUCACAUGUGCCCGAAUUCAGCCUUGCUGAAGCACCACAGAUCAUCACCGAUCCUCCACCAAAUUUCACAGUGGGUUUGAGACAAUGUGGCUUAUAGGCCUCUGUGUAAUCAUUAGAUGAGCAGGUGUUGGGCAAAGCUAAAUAUUGGACUCAUCAGAGAAGGUCCAAUCUGUAUGGUCUUUUGCAAACCUCAGCCUGGAUCUUCUUUGCUUCUCAUUGAUGAAGGGUUUUAUCUUCAGCCCUCUUCAGUAUUUCAGCCCUGCCCCUAGGUGCCUGUUUCAAACUGUCCUCGCUGUACACUUCGUCCCAUUUGCCAUUCUUUUUGUAGGUCACUUGAUGUCAUCAUACAGUUGAGUGAUGUUCAAAUGAGUUGGCAGUCAUCCC